GUGGUGACCAAGCUGAGAAACAACACCAACCACGCCGCCGCCGCGAUGAACGGCCAUGGCGGUGCUGCCAGCGGGUCGGCGAGCCCGAAGCACGCUCACGUGGGGUU
rnacentral:ribozyme from 1 species